AUAGAGAGAGAAAGAGAAAGGGUUUGAAGGAGAGCGUAGAAGGAGAGCAUUUUCGAUUUGGGGAUCUGAUCCCCAAAUCCAACCAAAUAUAUGUCAAGUAUCCAAACUAUUUCUAUAUUGCGAUUGAAGUUGGUGAACCAAGAAACCGAAUCCGUUUCGAUCGUCUCCGGACGGUGGUGCGGUUCUUCAAACCCAGAAAGAUGGAAGUCUCCUUCUGCUGUUCUUCUCUCUCUC